UACGUAGGGUGCGAGCGUUGUCCGGAAUUAUUGGGCGUAAAGGGUGCGUAGGCGGUUUGGUAAGUCUUGUGUGAAAUCUACAGGCUCAACUUGUAGUCUGCACGAGAAACUGCCGGGCUUGAGUAUGGGAGAGGUGAGUGGAAUUCCUGGUGUAGCGGUGAAAUGCGUAGAUAUCAGGAGGAACACCUGUGGCGAAAGCGGCUCACUGGACCAUAACUGACGCUGAUGCACGAAAGCUAGGGGAGCAAACAGG
rnacentral:rRNA from 1 species